GACGAACGCUGGCGGCGUGCCUAAUACAUGCAAGUAGAACGCUGAAGGAGGAGCUUGCUUCUCUGGAUGAGUUGCGAACGGGUGAGUAACGCGUAGGUAACCUGCCUGGUAGCGGGGGAUAACUAUUGGAAACGAUAGCUAAUACCGCAUAAUAGCAGUUAUUGCAUGAUAACUGUUUGAAAGGUGCAAUUGCACCACUACCAGAUGGACCUGCGUUGUAUUAGCUAGUUGGUGGGGUAACGGCUCACCAAGGCGACGAUACAUAGCCGACCUGAGAGGGUGAUCGGCCACACUGGGACUGAGACACGGCCCAGACUCCUACGGGAGGCAGCAGUAGGGAAUCUUCGGCAAUGGACGGAAGUCUGACCGAGCAACGCCGCGUGAGUGAAGAGGGUUUUCGGAUCGUAAAGCUCUGUUGUAAGAGAAGAACGAGUGUGAGAGUGGAAAGUUCACACUGNGACGGU
rnacentral:rRNA from 1 species